rnacentral:rRNA from 1 species
UGGGGAAUAUUGCACAAUGGGCGCAAGCCUGAUGCAGCCAUGCCGGGGUAUGAAGAAGGCCUUCGGNGUGNAAGUACUUUCAGCGGGGAGGAAGGGAGUAAAGUUAAUACCUUUGCUCAUGGACGUUACCCGCAGAAGAAGCACCGGCUAACUCCGUGCCAGCAGCCGCGGUAAUACGGAGGGGACGUAUCGNAUNCAAUAUGNGNCUGGGCUAAAGCGCACGCAGGCGGUUUGUUAAGUCAGAUGUGAAAUCCCCGGGCUCAACCUGGGAACUGCAUCUGAUACUGGCAAGCUUGAGUCCUCGUAGAGGGGGGUAGAAUUCCAGGUGUAGCGGUGAAAUGCGUAGAGAUCUGGAGGAAUACCGGUGGCGAAGGCGGCCCCCUGGACGAAGACUGACNUNNNGGNNNGAAAGCGUGGGGAGCAAACAGGAUUAGAUACCCUGGUAGUCCACGCCGU